CCCUACGGGGUGCAGCAUGCGCGAAAACUUUGCAAUGCGGGAAACCGUGAUAGGGGAACUCCGAGUGCCCGUUAAAUCGGGCUGUCCAUCAGUUUAAAUAACUGGUGAAGAAAGGGCCGGGCAAGACCGGUGCCAGCCGCCGCGGUAAUACCGGCGGCUCGAGUGGUGGCCACUAUUACUGGGCUUAAAGCGUUCGUAGCUGGUUUGUUAAGUCUCUGGGGAAAUCUUCCGGCUUAACCGGAAGGCGUUUCAGGGAUACUGGCAGACUAGGGACCGGGAGAGGUGAGGGGUACUCCAGGGGUAGGAGUGAAACCCUGUAAUCCUUGGGGGACCACCUGUGGCGAAGGCGCCUCACCAGAACGGCUCCGACAGUGAGGGACGAAAGCUGGGGGAGCAAACCGGAUUAGAUACCCGGGUAGUCCCAGCCGUAAACGAUGUGCGUUAGGUGUGUCGGUGACCACGAGUCACCGAGGUGCCGAAGAGAAAUCGUGAAACGUACCGCCUGGGAAGUACGGUCGCAAGGCUGAAACUUAAAGGAAUUGGCGGGGGAGCACA
rnacentral:rRNA from 1 species